CUCGUAGAUAUGAGUGUGUUUAGUUAUUUUGGAGAAUGUCUAGGUUAGGCUCUAUUUUUGUCCUCUCCAUUUCCUCAUUGACAAAGGUGACUCAGUUCUAAUCACAUUCCUUCUUUUUUCAGGGAUGGUGGACUUGAGCACCUGCCAAAUAUGAGCUGGAGCACCUGUGGACAAUUUAAAGGGCUAAAUGAGACUGAAAAGGCUGAAUGUUUAGAGUCCUGACUGAUGAGAUGUAUGUAUUUCUCUCUGGGAAAAACAGCCUCCUUAUCAGCUGAACAUUGUCAGGAAUUACAACAGAGUCAAAUGGGCCAUGGAGACAACCCUAACCCUAACAGAUUGAAAAUAAUGAUGAAAAUACAAUAGGGAAGAGAUGGAGAAGCCAGUACACCCACUGGAGCACAGGAAGGCCAGGGUUGGGUUUGUUGCUUUAGAAAUGGGAUGAGAAAAACCUAGAAAUGCAUAACCUGACCAAAGGGAAAUUUUUACUUAUUCAUGCUAACAAAAAAAGUAAACUCAUUGCUGUUUGCCAGAAUGCAAGACUGAAGCUGACAUUUCAGAGUGCUUCUGAGGUCACGUGACAAAAAGAAAAAUAUCUCUUUUCAGCACAAUCAGUCCCUGAAUGUCUCUGAGCGGAUGAGCUUGAAUCUUCAAUUGUUUAAAGUUUGUUGAACGACCUGAAGAGUGCAGUUCCUGACCCUCCACAUCCACACAGGGAGCGAAGGCUGACCAGGAAGAAUUGGAGAAACUGUCCAAAAAAGGUGUUGGUGCUUGCAAAGAGUGCUAUAAAA
rnacentral:lncRNA from 15 species